CUAAAUUUUAUUUUCUUUUUGCCUCGUUUAUGGUAAGACUCUUAUUGAUGUUCUCUUUUGCCUCUUUGUUUCCCAGUAAGAGUCUUAUGUCUUUUUGUUUUCUUUGUAGUACAUUACAACUAGGACUGCCAAAAAAUUGAACUUUUUUUGUUUUAAAAUCCUAGAAACAAUAUUAUUGCAAAAAGAUUGAAUUUGUUUUUUUUAAUCCCUAAACACAAUAUUGCUGGAAAAAGAAAAUUGCCUAUAUGAAUUUUCAAGGUAAAAUAACCAUAAUGAGGAUCUGCUAUGACAAUGUAAAAUGCCCCUUACCUAUUUGAUAAAAUGUGGAGAAGAAAUUGCAUAUAUGAAUUUUCAAGUCUCAUUGCCUUCUAAAGUAAAUUUAGGAACUUCAAAGUUGCGAGGAGUUGUAUUUGGUCGACUGCAUGUUGAUGCACUGCUUAAUGUGACACACCAAAUCCAACACUCUUAAUUGUUGAAGUUAAAGAUGAGAAAGUUGUUCUUUUAAACAUAUUAUCAAAUAGAUAGGGUACUUCCUAGAUAGAAAAAUAGGAUAUAAACCUUCAACUUCUUAUAGUUAUAGCGAAAAAUCCAGUGAAAUGACACCUUCGUGUUCAACAUGUAUUAUUUGAUAUUCUAUUCUUUCAAAUUUUAUAACAUCUAACUAACAGUAUCUGUUUUUGGACUGUGAGGUUCAUCUUGUCUUUGUUUCUUCUCUCUUCUCCAUUAUCCAGUCCUCUUUCUUCACUGCUAAUUGGACUCCCAUAAAUUUCAGUCGAGAGGAAAUUUGGAUCUUGUCUCACUUCCACUCAAACCUUCAGCAAUGUGUUGCUAAUCGAGGACUGUGAUUGAAUGAUCAUUGCAAUAUGAUUCUCAAGUUUCUGGAAGAAACUAAUAACACUUGGUAUAAUUUGAAAAUAUUUUUGUACAGGCAUCUUGACUGGUCCUGUUUCUCCUUUCUCCGUGC
rnacentral:lncRNA from 1 species